rnacentral:rRNA from 1 species
AGCAACCUGAGCUCAGUCGUGAUUACCCGCCGAACUUAAGCAUAUCAUUCAGCGGAGGAAAAGAACUAACUAGGAUCCUA